GACGAACGCUGGCGGCGUGCUUAACACAUGCAAGUCGAACGGUAAGGCUCCAGCUUGCUGGGGUACACGAGUGGCGAACGGGUGAGUAACACGUGGGUGACCUGCCCUGCACUUCGGGAUAAGCCUGGGAAACUGGGUCUAAUACCGGAUAGGACCGCACCGUGAGGGUGUGGUGGAAAGUUUUUUCGGUGUGGGAUGGGCCCGCGGCCUAUCAGCUUGUUGGUGGGGUAAUGGCCUACCAAGGCGGCGACGGGUAGCCGGCCUGAGAGGGCGGACGGCCACAUUGGGACUGAGACACGGCCCAGACUCCUACGGGAGGCAGCAGUGGGGAAUAUUGCACAAUGGGCGGAAGCCUGAUGCAGCGACGCCGCGUGGGGGAUGACGGCCUUCGGGUUGUAAACUCCUUUCACCAUCGACGAAGGGUUUCUGACGGUAGAUGGAGAAGAAGCACCGGCUAACUACGUGCCAGCAGCCGCGGUAAUACGUAGGGUGCGAGCGUUGUCCGGAAUUACUGGGCGUAAAGAGCUCGUAGGUGGUUUGUCGCGUCGUCUGUGAAAUUCCGGGGCUUAACUCCGGGCGUGCAGGCGAUACGGGCAUAACUUGAGUACUGUAGGGGAGACUGGAAUUCCUGGUGUAGCGGUGAAAUGCGCAGAUAUCAGGAGGAACACCGGUGGCGAAGGCGGGUCUCUGGGCAGUAACUGACGCUGAGGAGCGAAAGCAUGGGGAGCGAACAGGAUUAGAUACCCUGGUAGUCCAUGCCGUAAACGGUGGGCGCUAGGUGUGGGUUUCCUUCCACGGGAUCCGUGCCGUAGCUAACGCAUUAAGCGCCCCGCCUGGGGAGUACGGCCGCAAGGCUAAAACUCAAAGGAAUUGACGGGGGCCCGCACAAGCGGCGGAGCAUGUGGAUUAAUUCGAUGCAACGCGAAGAACCUUACCUGGGCUUGACAUAUACAGGAUCGCGCCAGAGAUGGUGUUUCCCUUGUGGCUUGUAUACAGGUGGUGCAUGGUUGUCGUCAGCUCGUGUCGUGAGAUGUUGGGUUAAGUCCCGCAACGAGCGCAACCCUUGUCUUAUGUUGCCAGCACGUUGUGGUGGGGACUCGUAAGAAACUGCCGGGGUUAACUCGGAGGAAGGUGGGGAUGACGUCAAAUCAUCAUGCCCCUUAUGUCCAGGGCUUCACACAUGCUACAAUGGUCGGUACAGUGGGUUGCCAGUCCGUGAGGGCGAGCUAAUCCCGCAAAGCCGGUCUCAGUUCGGAUCGGGGUCUGCAACUCGACCCCGUGAAGUCGGAGUCGCUAGUAAUCGCAGAUCAGCAACGCUGCGGUGAAUACGUUCCCGGGCCU
rnacentral:rRNA from 1 species